rnacentral:rRNA from 1 species
UACGGGGGGGGCAAGCGUUGUUCGGAAUUACUGGGCGUAAAGGGCUCGUAGGUGGCCAACUAAGUCAGACGUGAAAUCCCUCGGCUUAACCGGGGAACUGCGUCUGAUACUGGAUGGCUUGAGGUUGGGAGAGGGAUGCGGAAUUCCAGGUGUAGCGGUGAAAUGCGUAGAUAUCGGGAGGAACACCAGUGGCGAAGGCGGCUUCCUGGCCUGUUCUUGACGCUGAGGCGCGAAAGCUAGGGGAGCAAACGGG